ACCUGAGUAGCUCAGCUGGAAGAGCAUCAGACUUUUAAUCUGAGGGUCCAGGGUUCAAGUCCCUGGACCCUCAGAUC